CAUGGGAACGCACGGCCGCAAAUCUGACUCGUCGUCCACUUGGGCGGCUCGGGAUUGCGGUAGUGU
rnacentral:ncRNA from 1 species